UACGUAGGUGACCAGCGUUGUCCGGAUUUACUGGGCGUAAAGAGCGCGCAGGCGGUCGUUCAAGUCGAGUGUGAAAGCCCCCGGCUCAACUGGGGAGGGUCAUUCGAUACUGAUCGACUUGAAGGCAGGAGAGGGAAGUGGAAUUCCCGGUGUAGUGGUGAAAUGCGUAGAUAUCGGGAGGAACACCAGUGGCGAAGGCGACUUCCUGGCCUGUUCUUGACGCUGAGGCGCGAAAGCUAGGGGAGCAACGGG
rnacentral:rRNA from 1 species